AGGAAAAGAAACCAACAGGGAUUGCCCUAGUAACGGCGAGUGAAGCGGCAACAGCUCAAAUUUGAAAUCUGGCUCUCGGGCCCGAGUUGUAAUUUGUAGAGGAUGCUUUUGGUGAGGUGCCUUCCGAGUUCCCUGGAACGGGACGCCAUAGAGGGUGAGAGCCCCGUCUGGUUGGACACCGAGCCUCUGUAAAGCUCCUUCGACGAGUCGAGUAGUUUGGGAAUGCUGCUCUAAAUGGGAGGUAUAUGUCUUCUAAAGCUAAAUAUUGGCCAGAGACCGAUAGCGCACAAGUAGAGUGAUCGAAAGAUGAAAAGCACUUUGAAAAGAGAGUUAAAAAGCACGUGAAAUUGUUGAAAGGGAAGCGCUUGUGACCAGACUUGGGCUUGGUUAAUCAUCCGGCGUUCUCGCCGGUGCACUUUUCCAGUCCAGGCCAGCAUCAGUUUGCCUUGGGGGAUAAAAGCUUCGGGAAUGUGGCUCCUCCGGGAGUGUUAUAGCCCGUUGCACAAUACCCUGGGGCGGACUGAGGUUCGCGCAUUCGCAAGGAUGCUGGCGUAAUGGUCAUCAGCGACCCGUCU
rnacentral:rRNA from 1 species